CAGGUCUUUCCAAUGUCUUUGGUCUUUCCCAGAAUCUUUCCGUUUUCCACCCUUUUAUUGCUUUACGAUUCGCCUCGUGCGUCAAAUUCUCACAUAUCAUCUUAUCAGCACUCAUCAUGAGAUCGUUUAUUUAUCCGCUUCUGUUUAAGUCAAAUCCAACACUUACCAGAAAAGUAUCGGUUUUCUUUCGUCCAUGCUCUUCUCACACAUCAAUCCAGAGAUUCCAGAGAUGGAUGACCAUGCAACUCCUCGGAACCUGCUCACCACCUCCAUAAAAGGAAGCAGACUGGCCCUCCAAACUUAUGAGCAAGAUGGAAAGGAAAGAAUGACACUGUUGCCUACCUUACCUGUCUGCUCCCCAAUGAAGGACUCAACUGGAAAGCAGGGAGGAAGGGAGAGAAGAACAACAUUUACGAUCCUAAAUUACUGGAGCCAUCGUGAUAUUUCCACAACUCCAUCACACAAGAGUUGAGUGAACCUGAUGAUGGCUGAAACGCAUCAUCAACAUUUUAUAUGUUUGGAACAAAUAUGCUACUACAAUGAAUCAAUGAGUUGUGACUGCACACAUCUGAAAUUUUUAUCUGGUUGGAAAAUUGAAGGAGGUGCUCAGGAAACAGUAGUCGCCCUAGUCUUGACUCCGUCCUGUCAAAAAAUGGAUUGUUCCUACUUUGCUUUUAUUUUUUAUAGAAGUAUGGCCUUCAAGAAUUGAAAUGUCAGAGCUGGUUCUGCUGAAGUAAGAUUUUCUAAUCGGUGAGCUUCUUCAAAGUCAAAAUUGCAAAAUUUAGAAGAACACUAAGGUGGCUACAUUGGAGAAAAAGUACCAUUCCUCAGUUCUGGAGGUGGGUUGCAAAUGAAUUAUUACCUGAUCAGGGGUUUUACGCUUUCAAGUGCAUAACUAACCUGUUGUAGUUUAAAUAUCCCUUUUAACAUGACUUAUAUUGUAUUCUCUUAUAGUACAGUACAGUCAAUUCUUUUGUAGUACUGUACUACAAUGUUGUUUUAUGACAGAACAUGAAAGCUUCCAAAAAAUGCACAUGACAGAAGCAUUCCAUGUGAGAGGAAGCAAAGCUCACACAUGAUAUUACAAUUUAAUUUACUUUAUAUAGCUUCACAUUACAUUGACAUUACUUUUACAUUGCUUUAAUUGAUUAAUGUUUCAAUUAAAUUUCUUUAUAUUACAUUUAGCUUUACACAAUUACUUUGGUAUCAUACACUAUGUACACUUAAUGCUAAGUUGCUUAAUUUUCCAUCUGACAAAUCGGCUUUGAAGAGGAUAAUGUGUCCAAAAGUGAUACAGUUUCUUUCGGAGAAGGAGAUUUUCAUACUUUUAAACUAUUCCAUAAAUUGAGGACACUUUGGGGAAAAAUUGCAGCAAUUGGAGGCUGAAUAGUGAUUACAAAGUAUUACAAAGAAAUAGUAAUGUACCAUAAAAGUAUAGUAGUAAUAAGCUAAGAAAAGAAUAAGUAAUUUUAUUUUAUUUUCAUUUUAAUACAUGAGAGCCACAAGGCUGUGGUAUACGUCAAGCUACAGAAAGAACUAAAAAGAAACUUUUACAUUUCAGCCAAGCACUAAAUAUCACGAUCAACUGGGUACUAAAUA